AAUAAAUUAAAAUAUACAAUACUUAUAAUAUAUAUUUAACAUAUCACAACAAUAAGUUAUAACAAAAUAGAUUAUAUAGAACAUUGUUGAUUGCAAAAUAGUGUGAAUUUAUAAUUAUCAUUUAUAACAUGCAACAAAAAAAUAAUGUGGACCUUACAAGUUUGUAAAAACUUGCAUAUGAUAUAACUAUGAUCAGCUAGUAAUUUAUUUAAUAUUUGCAUAAAUAACAUAGAAUCCAUCAUUCUCUAUAGUGACCAUGGAAAGAUUUAUUUUAUCUGGGCUAAAAGUCAGCUAUGUAUAAUGCUUGAAAUUAAAUAAAAUCUUGAUCUAUCAUCAGAGAACAAAGAAUUCUAACAUGUGGCUAAACAUAUAGCUUCUCAUAUGUUUGUGUAAUGUUUGAAGUUUAUCACAUCCUAAUGUAUUGCAGAACAGAACAUCCUAAAACUGGACUAGACUUUAGCUAUGUAUAAUGCUGGAAGCUACCUAGUAAUCAUUUCUAUAUGAAUAAUAGAAAAAAAAUGCUAUAAACUAGACUACAAAAUUAGUUAUAUAUCUAUAAUGCUUGAAGUUAAUAAGAUCUAAAUGUAUUAUAAAACAAAAUGCUCUAAAACUUGACUAGAAGUUAGCUAUGUCUUAUUCUUGAAGUUAAUCAGAUCUAUAAGUAAUAUUAAACAAAAUGCUCUAAAAUUUGACUAGAACUUAGCUAAGUAUAAUUCUUGAAGUUAAUAAGAUCUAAAUGUAUUAUAAAACAAAAUGCUCUCAACUUGACUAGCAGUUAGCUAUGUCUUAUUCUUAAAGUUAAUCAGAUCUAUAAGUAAUAUUAAACAAAAUGCUCUCAAACUUGACUAGAAGUUAGCUAUGUCUUAUUCUUGAAGUUAAUCAGAUCUAUAAGUUAUAUUAGAUAAAAUGCUCUAAAAUUUGACUUGAACUUAGCUAUGUAUAAUUCUUGAAGUUAAUCAGAUCUAUAUGUUAUAAAACAAAAUACCCUAAAACUUAAAUGUGUCAAUCACCUACUAGGUAUGUAGUUGUCCAAGUAAGCUACAACUAUAAAUGUGACAAUCAAGUAGAAUGGUCCUAAAAAUGAAAGCUAAAUCUUCUUUCUAUAAGAUAUGCAGGAGAAGCAAGGGGUAUAAUCUUUUUUUCUUAAAAAAGACUUUGUUGGCAAGAUGGGACUGAAAUGAUAAACAUGUAAUUAUAGAUUAUCGUUAGUCAUUGUUUUUCUCGCUUGAGCUGCUACAGCAAAAGUGAGAAAAGCAAUCAAGUUGAGAUGACCAAUGAUAAUCUGUUUAUCGCUAUUUUACCUAUGACAUGUGGGCCCUUAGUUCUAGCAAUAAUUUUUCAUAUCACUAGACUGUGCUGUGAAAGGAAAUUAUCUGUCAGCAAAAUCAUAGGAAAUUUUCGUAAAAUAGCUAUUACUGUAAAUUCAGAAAUUAUUGCGUGCAUUUAUUAUUGCAAUUUUUUCAUUUUAAACUAAAAUGCUAUUUUAAUUUUUGCGAUAGUGAAACAAAUUCAGUUUUAUUCUUAUAAAAAAAAGUCAAACUGAGUUUAAACUAUUGCGAUUACAACCCAGUCGCAUUUUUCGCAAUAAUAAAAACAAUGCAAUAAUAUCUGAAUUUAUACUAUUCUUUUUAUCUGUUGUUGAAAGCUGAAAUACUCUCAAACUGAUCUUUCAUUUACUGGAAAAUUAAAAUGAUAAAUUUGUUGUUAGCUAUUUGAUUAAUAAAAAAUGUUACAAAAAUUAGAUGCUUUUUGAUUAUAUGUGGUAUUGGGUUGCUUAGUUCUUUUGAAACUGCUUACAGACUAAAACAUAUUGUAAAUCUUUCUUGCUACGGCACUUUAUACAUUUAUAUUUGCGUACUAUGUCCUAUUUAUUUAAUACAUUCAUCAGGGAUGUUACUUUACUUUCUACACAUUUGAAAUCCAGGGGGAGGGGGGAUAAAUAAAGGCAACAGUAGUAUACCUCUGUUCAAAACUCAUAAAUCCUCAUUAAUAGACGUAAACUUGCUACUGACAUUUCUAGAAACAUUAACCUACUGUAACUGAAAAUUGCCUUAAACUUUAUUUCCCCUGUCUAUAACCUACUGACUAGUUGUUAUGCAUCAAUGUGCAUAUAUUUCAAUAUCUUAUAAUUCACAAGUAAGUACAUGUAAUUUUCAUAAAACUGAAUAGAUUAUCAACAUUGUCAGCUUGUGACUAUAGAACUGUUACAAUAUAAAUUUACAAUGCAAAAACAACAACAUGUAUGGCACUUACUGUUAAAAAUCUAUUCUGUA
rnacentral:lncRNA from 1 species